UACGAAGGGUGCUAGCGUUGUUCGGAAUCACUGGGCGUAAAGCGCGCGUAGGCGGCUAUUCAAGUCAGAGGUGAAAUCCCUGGGCUCAACCCAGGAACUGCCUUUGAAACUGUAUAGCUUGAGUGUCGGAGGGGAUAGCGGAAUUCCUAAUGUAGAGGUGAAAUUCGUAGAUAUUAGGAGGAACACCGGUGGCGAAGGCGGCUAUCUGGACGACAACUGACGCUGAGGCGCGAAAGCGUGGGGAUCAAACAGG
rnacentral:rRNA from 1 species